rnacentral:rRNA from 1 species
UACGGAGGGUGCGAGCGUUAAUCGGAAUUACUGGGCGUAAAGCGCGCGUAGGUGGCUUGAUAAGCCGGUUGUGAAAGCCCCGGGCUCAACCUGGGAACGGCAUCCGGAACUGUCAAGCUAGAGUGCAGGAGAGGAAGGUAGAAUUCCCGGUGUAGCGGUGAAAUGCGUAGAGAUCGGGAGGAAUACCAGUGGCGAAGGCGGCCUUCUGGACUGACACUGACACCCCCCUGCGAAAGCGUGGGUAG